UACUCCAAGCGCUCACGCUGCUUGCGACAUGAAAGAGAAACGCAUUCGCGACGUGAUGCAACAACAAGGCUCGCAUCUGAUGCAGAUAUGGUGUUAAGAUCACAAGGAAGGCAAUUAAUAUACUGUUUUUCACAACUUACCUGUUAUAUGUCAAAACAUCGAGGGAAAUUUGAUUUCUCAGUUCAUGACCCAGAACAAGUAAAUGUGAUUCAGACCUUUUCAGAACAAUCGUAUGAUGGUUUAUUAAUUCUGAAUUGCUUUAUUAUAGAUACAACAUCACUAUCCCGGCUCUGAAAGGCUGUGUGAAAAUCGGCACCGCCGGCGGCCCCACUCCGAGCGUUGAAGAGAAAGUGGGCAUCGGCAGAGGCUGCACUAAUGAGCUACUGAUGGUGAGGAAAGCUGAAUUCAGCCUCGGCAGUGCAUUGGAGAAACUCCAUGAAGACUUCAGCUUGGACGAUGUCAGUCUUUCUCUGGGCUUCAGGAGUACAAAACCAGACGGCAUCCUGCUGCAGAACAGCAAAAAU